UGCGCAGGCGGCCGUGUGUGUGAGGCGUGAAAGCCCGGAGCUCAACUCCGGAAUUGCACCUCAAACUACACGGCUAGAGCAUUGGAGAGGGUAGCAGAAUUCACGGUGUAGCAGUGAAAUGCGUAGAUAUCGUGAGGAAUACCAGAGGCGAAGGCGGCUACCUGGACAAUUGCUGACGCUCAGGCACGAAAGCGUGGGGAGCAAAAGGGAUUAGAUAACCCCUGUAGUCCACGCCCUAAACGGUGCACGACUAGGUCUUGGCGGAUUCGACCCCACCAGGGCCCAAGCUAACGCGUUAAGUGUGCCGCCUGAGGACUACGGCCGCAAGGCUAAA
rnacentral:rRNA from 1 species